rnacentral:rRNA from 1 species
UACGUAGGGUGCGAGCGUUAAUCGGAAUUACUGGGCGUAAAGUGUGCGCAGGCGCAAAGCAAGUCGAGUGUGAAAGCCCCGGGCUUAACUUGGGAAUUGCGCUCGAAACUACUUUGACUGGAGUGUGGCAGAGGAAGGUGGAAUUCCACGUGUAGCGGUGAAAUGCGUGAGAUAUCGGGAGGAACACCUGUGGCGAAAGCGGCGCACUGGACCACAUCUGACGCUGAGGCGCGAAAGCUAGGGGAGCAAACAGG